CUAUAACGGUCCUAAGGUAGCGAAAUUCCUUGUCGGGUAAGUUCCGACCUGCACGAAUGGCGUAAUGAUGGCCAGGCUGUCUCCACCCGAGACUCAGUGAAAUUGAACUCGCUGUGAAGAUGCAGUGUACCCGCGGCAAGACGGAAAGACCCCGUGAACCUUUACUAUAGCUUGACACUGAACAUUGAGCCUUGAUGUGUAGGAUAGGUGGGAGGCUUUGAAGUGUGGACGCCAGUCUGCAUGGAGCCGACCUUGAAAUACCACCCUUUAAUGUUUGAUGUUCUAACGUGGACCCGUGAUCCGGGUUGCGGACAGUGUCUGGUGGGUAGUUUGACUGGGGCGGUCUCCUCCUAAAGAGUAACGGAGGAGCACGAAGGUUGGCUAAUCCUGGUCGGACAUCAGGAGGUUAGUGCAAUGGCAUAAGCCAGCUUGACUGCGAGCGUGACGGCGCGAGCAGGUGCGAAAGCAGGUCAUAGUGAUCCGGUGGUUCUGAAUGGAAGGGCCAUCGCUCAACGGAUAAAAGGUACUCCGGGGAUAACAGGCUGAUACCGCCCAAGAGUUCAUAUCGACGGCGGUGUUUGGCACCUCGAUGUCGGCUCAUCACAUCCUGGGGCUGAAGUAGGUCCCAAGGGUAUGGCUGUUCGCCAUUUAAAGUGGUACGCGAGCUGGGUUUAGAACGUCGUGAGACAGUUCGGUCCCUAUCUGCCGUGGGCGCUGGAGAACUGAGGGGGGCUGCUCCUAGUACGAGAGGACCGGAGUGGACGCAUCACUGGUGUUCGGGUUGUCAUGCCAAUGGCACUGCCCGGUAGCUAAAUGCGGAAGAGAUAAGUGCUGAAAGCAUCUAAGCACGAAACUUGCCCCGAGAUGAGUUCUCCCUGACCCUUUAAGGGUCCUGAAGGAACGUUGAAGACGACGACGUUGAUAGGCCGGGUGUGUAAGCGCAGCGAUGCGUUGAGCUAACCGGUACUAAUGAACCGUGAGGCUUAACCUUACAACGCCGAAGGUGUUU
rnacentral:rRNA from 1 species